rnacentral:rRNA from 1 species
UACGUAGGUGGCAAGCGUUGUCCGGAUUUAUUGGGUUUAAAGGGUGCGUAGGCGGUUCCAUAAGUCAGUGGUGAAAUACGGCAGCUCAACUGUCGAGGUGCCAUUGAUACUGCGGAACUUGAGUACUGAUGAGGUAGGCGGAAUUGACGGUGUAGCGGUGAAAUGCUUAGAUAUGACAUAGAACACCAAUUGCGAAGGCAGCUUACUACACAGUUAUUGACGCUGAGGCACGAAAGCGUGGGGAUCAAACAGG